GAACAUCCUCAGUGCACCGGGACACACAGGUCACCCCUCCACCCAAACAGUUACACUGAAGAGCACAUGAUGGCUGAAAUACCUGGCCGUCCUGAUAGGAGACUCCAUUAUGCUCACAGCCCAGCUCCUUCUGACCUAAAAACAAAGGGAAGCUGGCACUGUAGUCACAUUGCAGGCUGCGCUGACUGUCACAUGGAUACAGCUCACUGCAGGCCUCACCCUGCUGUCUUGCACACACCUGACAGCACUGGCACCCAUCGAGAAUGAGAGGAACACCUUCUGGGCAGGCUGACAACAAAACGUCCCACAACAAGUCCCUGAUAAAAACCACUAAACUGACCUCUCCCUCCUCUCAACUCUGAGCAUGACAAUUGACAAAGUAUCCAGAUCAAAUCUCACAGCUGUUGGACAUAAAACUGAACCUAGACAUCAGAGAUAUUUCCACUGGCAAAAUGCAUGCAUGCAAAUAAAGUGUGCGAUUCUUACCUGUGAGCCCAGGUAAAAC